UCAGACCCAUUGCCUGUGCCAUUCCUCUCUUUCUCCCAGAAGUCUCUCACAGCUCCCACUAUGCAGUCUGUCCUCAGUCUGGUUUUCAUUCUCACCCUGAUCCAAGGAGUCCGGGGUGAUGUCAAGCUGGUGGAGUCCGGGGGAGACGUGAAACAGCCUGGGGGGUCUCUGCGCCUCUCCUGUAAAGCCUCCGGAUUCACCUUCAGCAAUUAUGGCAUGAACUGGGUCCGCCAGGCUCCAGGAAAGGGGCUGGAGUGGGUCGCUGUAAUUUAUUACGAUGGUAGUAAAACCUACUAUGCGGACUCUGUGAAAGGACGAUUCACCAUCUCCAGGGACAAUGCCAACAGCCUGCUCUAUCUGCAGAUGAGUAGCCUGAAAACUGAGGACACAGCCCUGUAUUACUGUACUACAGACACAUUGCAACCCAUUUUCAUAGAUAGCACUUCCACAGGAGAACUCUUAUCCGUGUGUGUAACAGGGGCUGAACAGAUCCAUCAGGAUGGCUGCAGUUUCUGCUUGCAGGACACAUACAUCAACACACAACAGCUCUAG